rnacentral:rRNA from 1 species
UAGGUUGAGCCUACGUCGGAUUAGCUAGUUGGUGGGGUAAAGGCCUACCAAAGCGACGAUCCGUAGCUGGUCUGAGAGGAUGACCAGCCACACUGGGACUGAGACACGGCCCAGACUCCUACGGGAGGCAGCAGUGGGGAAUCUUGGACAAUGGGGGAAACCCUGAUCCAGCGAUACCGCGUGUGUGAAGAAGGCCUUCGGGUUGU